CCCACAACGACGGUAAAUAAUUUCGAAAUUAUGAGUUCCAUAUGGAAUAUCAUUACGGAUUGAACAUGUAGACGGAAAUGGAAACAAGGGCUGAAAUACCUACAACGAAGGAAAUGGAAACUACGCCUGAAAUACCUACAACGAUGACGAGAAUGGAAACUGCGACCAAAAUACCCACAACGACGGUAAAUAAUUUCGA